rnacentral:rRNA from 1 species
GACGAACGCUGGCGGCGUGCUUAACACAUGCAAGUCGAACGGAGUGGCGAACGGGUGAGUAACGCGUAAGCAACCUGCUCUUGAGAGGGGGACAACAGUUGGAAACGACUGCUAAAACCGAUCAGUGAAGGAGGGGAUUACGUCGGAUUAGCUAGUUGGAGGGGUAACGGGCCACCAAGGGGAUGAUCAGUAGCCGGUCUGAGAGUGUGAACGGCCACAUUGGGACUGAGACACGGCCCAGACUCCUACGGGAGGCAGCAGUGGGGAAUCUGCCGCAAUGGACGAAAGUCUGACGGAGCAACGCCGCGUGAGUUAUGACGGCCUUCGGGUUGUAAAGCUCUGUUAAUCGGGACGCGGUACCGGAAUAGAAAGCCACGGCUAACUACGUGCCAGCAGCCGCGGUAAUAC